rnacentral:lncRNA from 1 species
UCUCCACUAAGAGUGUGCUUGUUUACAUGGAAGCUGAAUUUGAGCAAAGCAGCUUGGGAGAAAGUGUUCUAUCAGAGAGACUUAGGGGUUAGUGUUGCCAAUUUGACCCAAGCUAGAAUCCUCUGGAAAGAGGGGACCUCAAUUGAGAAAAUGCUUCCAGGAGAUACAGUUUUAAGGAAUUUUCUUAAUUAGUGAUUGCUAGGGAAGGGCUCAGCCCAUUGUGGAUGGUACCAUCACUGGGCUGGUGGUUCUGGAUUCUAUAAGAAAGAAGUGUACUAAGCCAGGAGGAGCAAGCCAGUAAGCAGCAUCCCUCCAUGGCCUCUGUAUCAACCCGCUGGAGUUCCUGUCCUGGCUUCCUUCAAUGACUGCCUGACCAUAGCUGAGCUGAUAUCUGAUCAUUAUAUUCUGCUCAGGAGAAGAGGGCAUCAGAUACUACAACCUGGCCAUCAGCCCCCCCCCCCAUGCCUGCUUUCUCUCCGUGGACCCCACUUUUCUGUCUCCUCCUCUGCACAGCAUCUCAAUGAAUUAGCCUGAGAGCUGUACCCAAUAAACCUGCCUUUAUAUACUUU